rnacentral:rRNA from 1 species
GAUGAACGCUGGCGGCGUGCCUAAUACAUGCAAGUCGAGCGAACAGACGAGGAGCUUGCUCCUCUGACGUUAGCGGCGGACGGGUGAGUAACACGUGGAUAACCUACCUAUAAGACUGGGAUAACUUCGGGAAACCGGAGCUAAUACCGGAUAAUAUAUUGAACCGCAUGGUUCAAUAGUGAAAGACGGUUUUGCUGUCACUUAUAGAUGGAUCCGCUCCGCAUUAGCUAGUUGGUAAGGUAACGGCUUACCAAGGCAACGAUGCGUAGCCGACCUGAGAGGGUGAUCGGCCACACGGGAACUGAGACACGGUCCAGACUCCUACGGGAGGCAGCAGUAGGGAAUCUUCCGCGAUGGGCGAAAGCCUGACGGAGCAACGCCGCGUGAGUGAUGAAGGUCUUCGGAUCGUAAAACUCUGUUAUUAGGGAAGAACAAAUGUGUAAGUAACUAUGCACGUCUUGACGGUACCUAAUCAGAAAGCCACGGCUAACUACGUG